UACGUAGGGCGCAAGCGUUGUCCGGAAUUAUUGGGCGUAAAGAGCUCGUAGGCGGCUUGUCGCGUCGGAUGUGAAAGCCCGGGGCUUAACCCCGGGUCUGCAUUCGAUACGGGCAGGCUAGAGUUCGGUAGGGGAGAUCGGAAUUCCUGGUGUAGCGGUGAAAUGCGCAGAUAUCAGGAGGAACACCGGUGGCGAAGGCGGAUCUCUGGGCCGAUACUGACGCUGAGGAGCGAAGGCGUGGGGAGCGAACAGG
rnacentral:rRNA from 1 species